rnacentral:rRNA from 1 species
GGGUUGUGAGGUUAAGCGACUAAGCGUACACGGUGGAUGCCCUGGCAGUCAGAGGCGAUGAAGGACGUGCUAAUCUGCGAUAAGCGUCGGUGAGGUGAUAUGAACCGUUAUAACCGGCGAUUUCCGAAUGGGGAAACCCAGUGUGUUUCGACACACUAUCAUUAACUGAAUCCAUAGGUUAAUGAGGCGAACCGGGGGAACUGAAACAUCUAAGUACCCCGAGGAAAAGAAAUCAACCGAGAUUCCCCCAGUAGCGGCGAGCGAACGGGGAGGAGCCCAGAGCCUGAAUCAGUGUGUGUGUUAGUGGAAGCGUCUGGAAAGGCGCGCGAUACAGGGUGACAGCCCCGUACACAAAAAUGCACAUACUGUGAGCUCGAUGAGUAGGGCGGGACACGUGGUAUCCUGUCUGAAUAUGGGGGGACCAUCCUCCAAGGCUAAAUACUCCUGACUGACCGAUAGUGAACCAGUACCGUGAGGGAAAGGCGAAAAGAACCCCGGCGAGGGGAGUGAAAAAGAACCUGAAACCGUGUACGUACAAGCAGUGGGAGCCUCUUAAUGGGGUGACUGCGUACCUUUUGUAUAAUGGGUCAGCGACUUAUAUUCUGUAGCAAGGUUAACCGAAUAGGGGAGCCGAAGGGAAACCGAGUCUUAACUGGGCGUUAAGUUGCAGGGUAUAGACCCGAAACCCGGUGAUCUAGCCAUGGGCAGGUCGAAGGUUGGGUAACACUAACUGGAGGACCGAACCGACUAAUGUUGAAAAAUUAGCGGAUGACUUGUGGCUGGGGGUGAAAGGCCAAUCAAACCGGGAGAUAGCUGGUUCUCCCCGAAAGCUAUUUAGGUAGCGCCUCGUGAAUUCAUCUCCGGGGGUAGAGCACUGUUUCGGCAAGGGGGUCAUCCCGACUUACCAACCCGAUGCAAACUGCGAAUACCGGAGAAUGUUAUCACGGGAGACACACGGCGGGUGCUAACGUCCGUCGUGAAGAGGGAAACAACCCAGACCGCCAGCUAAGGUCCCAAAGUCAUGGUUAAGUGGGAAACGAUGUGGGAAGGCCCAGACAGCCAGGAUGUUGGCUUAGAAGCAGCCAUCAUUUAAAGAAAGCGUAAUAGCUCACUGGUCGAGUCGGCCUGCGCGGAAGAUGUAACGGGGCUAAACCAUGCACCGAAGCUGCGGCAGCGACACUAUGUGUUGUUGGGUAGGGGAGCGUUCUGUAAGCCUGUGAAGGUGUACUGUGAGGUAUGCUGGAGGUAUCAGAAGUGCGAAUGCUGACAUAAGUAACGAUAAAGCGGGUGAAAAGCCCGCUCGCCGGAAGACCAAGGGUUCCUGUCCAACGUUAAUCGGGGCAGGGUGAGUCGACCCCUAAGGCGAGGCCGAAAGGCGUAGUCGAUGGGAAACAGGUUAAUAUUCCUGUACUUGGUGUUACUGCGAAGGGGGGACGGAGAAGGCUAUGUUGGCCGGGCGACGGUUGUCCCGGUUUAAGCGUGUAGGCUGGUUUUCCAGGCAAAUCCGGAAAAUCAAGGCUGAGGCGUGAUGACGAGGCACUACGGUGCUGAAGCGACAAAUGCCCUGCUUCCAGGAAAAGCCUCUAAGCAUCAGGUAACAUCAAAUCGUACCCCAAACCGACACAGGUGGUCAGGUAGAGAAUACCAAGGCGCUUGAGAGAACUCGGGUGAAGGAACUAGGCAAAAUGGUGCCGUAACUUCGGGAGAAGGCACGCUGAUAUGUAGGUGAAGCGACUUGCUCGUGGAGCUGAAAUCAGUCGAAGAUACCAGCUGGCUGCAACUGUUUAUUAAAAACACAGCACUGUGCAAACACGAAAGUGGACGUAUACGGUGUGACGCCUGCCCGGUGCCGGAAGGUUAAUUGAUGGGGUUAGCGGUAACGCGAAGCUCUUGAUCGAAGCCCCGGUAAACGGCGGCCGUAACUAUAACGGUCCUAAGGUAGCGAAAUUCCUUGUCGGGUAAGUUCCGACCUGCACGAAUGGCGUAAUGAUGGCCAGGCUGUCUCCACCCGAGACUCAGUGAAAUUGAACUCGCUGUGAAGAUGCAGUGUACCCGCGGCAAGACGGAAAGACCCCGUGAACCUUUACUAUAGCUUGACACUGAACAUUGAGCCUUGAUGUGUAGGAUAGGUGGGAGGCUUUGAAGUGUGGACGCCAGUCUGCAUGGAGCCGACCUUGAAAUACCACCCUUUAAUGUUUGAUGUUCUAACGUGGGCCCCUUACCGGGGUUGCGGACAGUGUCUGGUGGGUAGUUUGACUGGGGCGGUCUCCUCCUAAAGAGUAACGGAGGAGCACGAAGGUUGGCUAAUCCUGGUCGGACAUCAGGAGGUUAGUGCAAUGGCAUAAGCCAGCUUGACUGCGAGCGUGACGGCGCGAGCAGGUGCGAAAGCAGGUCAUAGUGAUCCGGUGGUUCUGAAUGGAAGGGCCAUCGCUCAACGGAUAAAAGGUACUCCGGGGAUAACAGGCUGAUACCGCCCAAGAGUUCAUAUCGACGGCGGUGUUUGGCACCUCGAUGUCGGCUCAUCACAUCCUGGGGCUGAAGUAGGUCCCAAGGGUAUGGCUGUUCGCCAUUUAAAGUGGUACGCGAGCUGGGUUUAGAACGUCGUGAGACAGUUCGGUCCCUAUCUGCCGUGGGCGCUGGAGAACUGAGGGGGGCUGCUCCUAGUACGAGAGGACCGGAGUGGACGCAUCACUGGUGUUCGGGUUGUCAUGCCAAUGGCACUGCCCGGUAGCUAAAUGCGGAAGAGAUAAGUGCUGAAAGCAUCUAAGCACGAAACUUGCCCCGAGAUGAGUUCUCCCUGACUCCUUGAGAGUCCUGAAGGAACGUUGAAGACGACGACGUUGAUAGGCCGGGUGUGUAAGCGCAGCGAUGCGUUGAGCUAACCGGUACUAAUGAACCGUGAGGCUUAACCUUACAACGCCGAAG